GAUGAACGCUGGCGGCGUGCCUAAUACAUGCAAGUCGAGCGAACAGACGAGGAGCUUGCUCCUUUGACGUUAGCGGCGGACGGGUGAGUAACACGUGGAUAACCUACCUAUAAGACUGGGAUAACUUCGGGAAACCGGAGCUAAUACCGGAUAACAUGUUGAACCGCAUGGUUCAACAGUGAAAGACGGUCUUGCUGUCACUUAUAGAUGGAUCCGCGCCGCAUUAGCUAGUUGGUAAGGUAACGGCUUACCAAGGCAACGAUGCGUAGCCGACCUGAGAGGGUGAUCGGCCACACUGGAACUGAGACACGGUCCAGACUCCUACGGGAGGCAGCAGUAGGGAAUCUUCCGCAAUGGGCGAAAGCCUGACGGAGCAACGCCGCGUGAGUGAAGAAGGUCUUCGGAUCGUAAAACUCUGUUAUUAGGGAAGAACAAAUGUGUAAGUAACUAUGCACGUCUUGACGGUGCCUAAUCAGAAAGCCACGGCUAACUACGUG
rnacentral:rRNA from 1 species